rnacentral:rRNA from 1 species
GACGAACGCUGGCGGCGUGCUUAACACAUGCAAGUCGAACGGAAAGGCCCUGCUUUUGUGGGGUGCUCGAGUGGCGAACGGGUGAGUAACACGUGAGUAACCUGCCCUUGACUUUGGGAUAACUUCAGGAAACUGGGGCUAAUACCGGAGAGGAGCUCCUGCUGCAUGGUGGGGGUUGGAAAGUUUCGGCGGAUGGGGAUGGACUCGCGGCUUAUCAGCUUGUUGGUGGGGUAGUGGCUUACCAAGGCUUUGACGGGUAGCCGGCCUGAGAGGGUGACCGGCCACAUUGGGCCUGAGAUACGGCCCAGACUCCUACGGGAGGCAGCAGUGGGGAAUAUUGCACAAUGGGCGGAAGCCUGAUGCAGCAACGCCGCGUGCGGGAUGACGGCCUUCGGGUUGUAAACCGCUUUCGCCUGUGACGAAGCGUGAGUGACGGUAAUGGGUAAAGAAGCACCGGCUAACUACGUG